CUGAUGUAGCAACAUUUGGAGCAGUGAGACAAGUUCGUGCAGUGACAUGACUACAGAUUCCCAAGACGGUUCGUAAUUGUGUAGUCUGAAUGAGGAGUGGCAAAUCUUGAACUUGAUCACGUCGUGCGCCAAGAAGGUUCGUAAUUGUAUUGUAUGAAUGAGGAAUGUAAGGUUUUGGAAAUGGAACUAUGUUAGUUCCUGGAAAUGGAAUUAUUUUUAAUGGCGGUCCUGGUCGAAUCGGUGGAAGUGGAAUUACUCUUCCAAGAGUUCCAGCAUCUGUUUGAUGGUUAUCUAAUUUGGAGCGACGACCACGAGGUGAAAAUGGAACUAUGUUUGGAGGUCUUGGAAAUGGAAUUAUGUUAGGAUCUACUGGAGGUCUUGGUGGAAAGGGUGGAAGUAUAAUUAGGUCUCCAAGAGUUCCAGCAUCUGUUUGAUGGUUAUCUAAUUUGGAGCGACGACGUCUUGGAAAUGGAACUAUGUUUGGAGGUCUUGGAAAUGGAACUAUGUUAGUUCCUGGAAAUGGAAUUAUUUUUAAUGGCGGUCCUGGUCGAAUCGGUGGAAGUGGAAUUACUUUUCCAAGAGUUCCAGCAUCUGUUUGAUGGUUAUCUAAUUUGGAGCGACGACGUUUUAUAAAUGGAACUAUGUUUGGAGGUCUUGGAAAUGGAAUUAUGUUAGGAUCUACUGGAGGUCUUGGUGGAAAGGGUGGAAGUGUAAUUAGGUCUCCAAGAGUUCCAACAUUUGUUUGAUGGUCUAGCAAGCAUCUCUCCAUAGAAUCCAAAAGGCAAAGAGCCAACCCAUCCUGCUUCUGCAUUAAUGC
rnacentral:lncRNA from 1 species